UGAGUAGGUCGGACAGUCGCGUGUAUAAGCUGAAAAGCUGUACAUGAGGAAAGUCCGGGCUCCGUAGGGCAAGGUGCCGGGUAACCCCCGGUGAAGGCGACUUCAAGGAAAGUGCAUAGAAAAUAACCGCCUGACUUUAUGUCAGGUAAGGGUGGAAAGGUGAGGUAAGAGCUCACCAGCGGUCAGGCGACUGGCCGGCUUAGAAAACCCCACCUGGAGCAACACCGCGAUAGGGAGUUAAGGUGGCCCGCCGUUCCCUGGCAGGUGGCUUGAGCUGUGCAGUAAUGCAUGGCCUAGAUAGAUGACUGUUAAAACAGAACCCGGCUUAUGGACUUACUCAUAUU
rnacentral:RNase_P_RNA from 1 species